rnacentral:rRNA from 1 species
AGAAUCAACGCUGGCGGCGUGCCUAACACAUGCAAGUCGAACGGGAAAGUGGAGCAAUCCAUGAGUAUAGUGGCGACCGGGUGAGUAACACGUGACUACCUGCCCUUGAGUGGGGGAUAACCUCGGGAACCGAGGCUAAUACCGCAUAACAUCGCAAGAUCAAAGGAGCAAUCCGCUUUUGGAGGGGUCGCGGCUGAUUAGCUAGUUGGUAAGGUAAUGGCUUACCAAGGCGAAGAUCGGUA